GGCUCAGAUUGAACGCUGGCGGCAGGCCUAACACAUGCAAGUCGAGCGGUAGAGAGGUGCUUGCAUCUCUUGAGAGCGGCGGACGGGUGAGUAAUGCCUAGGAAUCUGCCUAGUGGUGGGGGAUAACGUUCGGAAACGGACGCUAAUACCGCAUACGUCCUACGGGGAGAAAGCGGGGGAUCUUCGGACCUCGCGCCAUUAGAUGAGCCUAGGUCGGAUUAGCUAGUUGGUGAGGUAAUGGCUCACCAAGGCGACGAUCCGUAACUGGUCUGAGAGGAUGAUCAGUCACACUGGAACUGAGACACGGUCCAGACUCCUACGGGAGGCAGCAGUGGGGAAUAUUGGACAAUGGGCGAAAGCUGAUCCAGCCAUGCCGCGUGUGUGAAGAAGGUCUUCGGAUUGUAAAGCACUUUAAGUUGGGAGGAAGGGUAGUAACCUAAUACGUUGCUACUUUGACGUUACCGACAGAAUAAGCACCGGCUAACUUCGUG
rnacentral:rRNA from 1 species